rnacentral:rRNA from 1 species
UAACGCGUGGGAACCUACCUUGGAGUGAGGAAUAACAGUUGGAAACGACUGCUAAUACCGCAUACGUCCUGAGGGAGAAAGGCCGUGCUUUUUCGAAAGUACGGCCGCUCUAAGAUGGUCCCGCGUCGGAUUAGCUUGUUGGUGAGGUAACGGCUCACCAAGGCGACGAUCCGUAGCUGGUCUGAGAGGACGGUCAGCCACACUGGGACUGAGACACGGCCCAGACUCC